rnacentral:rRNA from 1 species
GACGAACGCNGGCGGCGUGCUUAACACAUGCAAGUCGAACGAAGAGCGAUGGAAGCUUGCUUCUAUCAAUCUUAGUGGCGAACGGGUGAGUAACGCGUAAUCAACCUGCCCUUCAGAGGGGGACAACAGUUGGAAACGACUGCUAAUACCGCAUACGAUCUAAUCUCGGCAUCGAGGAUAGAUGAAAGGUGGCCUCUACAUGUAAGCUAUCAUUGAAGGAGGGGAUUGCGUCUGAUUAGCUAGUUGGAGGGGUAACGGCCCACCAAGGCGAUGAUCAGUAGCCGGUCUGAGAGGAUGAACGGCCACAUUGGGACUGAGGCACGGCCCAGACUCCUACGGGAGGCAGCAGUGGGGAAUCUUCCGCAAUGGACGAAAGUCUGACGGAGCAACGCCGCGUGAGUGAUGACGGCCUUCGGGUUGUA